UUGCUUCGGCAGCAAAUAUACUAAAAUUGGAACGAUACAGAGAAGAUUAGCAUGGCCCCUGCGCAAGGAUGACACGCACAUUCGUGAAGCAUUCCAUAUUUUU
rnacentral:snRNA from 1 species